AGUGAACGCUGGCGGUAGGCCUAACACAUGCAAGUCGAACGGCAGCACAGUAAGAGCUUGCUCUUACGGGUGGCGAGUGGCGGACGGGUGAGGAAUACAUCGGAAUCUACUUUUUCAUGGGGGAUAACGUAGGGAAACUUACGCUAAUACCGCAUACGACCUACGGGUGAAAGCAGGGGAUCUUCGGACCUUGCGCGAUUGGAUGAGCCGAUGUCGGAUUAGCUAGUUGGCGGGGUAAAGGCCCACCAAGGCGACGAUCCGUAGCUGGUCUGAGAGGAUGAUCAGCCACACUGGAACUGAGACACGGUCCAGACUCCUACGGGAGGCAGCAGUGGGGAAUAUUGGACAAUGGGCGCAAGCCUGAUCCAGCCAUACCGCGUGGGUGAAGAAGGCCUUCGGGUUGUAAAGCCCUUUUGUUGGGAAAGAAAAGCAGCAGGUUAAUACCCCGCUGUUCUGACGGUACCCAAAGAAUAAGCACCGGCUAACUUCGUG
rnacentral:rRNA from 1 species